rnacentral:rRNA from 1 species
CAGAGGGUGCAAACGUUGCUCGGAAUUACUGGGCGUAAAGCGCGUGUAGGCGGACCGAUAAGUCAGGCGUGAAAUCCCCGAGCUCAACUCGGGAACUGCACCUGAAACUGCCGGUCUAGAGUGAUGGAGAGGGUAGCGGAAUUCCUGGUGUAGAAGUGAAAUUCGUAGAUAUCAGGAGGAACACCGGUGGCGAAGGCGACUACCUGGACAUUAACUGACGCUGAGACGCGAAAGCGUGGGGAGCAAACAGGAUUAGAUACCCUGGUAGUCCACGCCGUAAACGAUGGACACUAGGUGUCGCGGGUUUUGACCCCCGCGGUGCCGUAGCUAACGCGUUAGGUGUCCCGCCUGGGGAGUACGGCCGCAAGGCUA